rnacentral:rRNA from 1 species
GACGAACGCUGGCGGCGUGCCUAAUACAUGCAAGUCGAGCGCAGGAAGCCGUCUGAACCCUUCGGGGGGACGACGGUGGAAUGAGCGGCGGACGGGUGAGUAACACGUAGAGAACCUGCCCAUAGGUCUGGGAUAACCACGAGAAAUCGGGGCUAAUACCGGAUGUGUCAUCGGACCGCAUGGUCCGCUGAUGAAAGGCGCUCCGGCGUCGCCCAUGGAUGGCUUUGCGGUGCAUUAGCUAGUUGGUGGGGUAACGGCCCACCAAGGCGACAAUGCAUAGCCGACCUGAGAGGGUGAUCGGCCACACUGGGACUGAGACACGGCCCAGACUCCUACGGGGGGCAGCAGUAGGGAAUCUUCCACAAUGGACGAAAGUCUGAUGGAGCAACGCCGCGUGAACGAUGAAGGCUUUCGGGUCGUAAAGUUCUGUUGUAAGGGAAGAACAAGUGCCGCAGGCAAUGGCGGCACCUUGACGGUACCUUGCGAGAAAGCCACGGCUAACUACGUGCCAGCCGCCGCCGUAACAC